AAAAAAUGUAUGCCUGUAAAUGUCAUAAUCACUCAACUGAAUAAAAUCAGGUUAUUGUAAUUGCUAUACUUUUCUGUGACUGUUAGUUGCACAUGUAGGCUAAUUAGACAAUUAAUCAGCUAUAUGUCAAUACUUACAGUUAUAUCUCUCUCUUUUUCUCUCUUACAGUUACUUUGCAAAAGUUUCUCAAACAUGGAGUCUGACAUGAACGGGGUCAGAUUUUUUUUAUUUUAUUAUUACAAAAAGAGAGUGGUUAGUACUUCAAGGUUGUAAGAGUUUGCACUUGGAACACAGUGUCAUGUGCAUUGUUGUAACUCCAGCUGUGUGUGAUCUUUGUAGAGGUGGAGUGGGCUAAGCGCAGCACAACAAACCAAACACCAAAGCAACCCUGUGUUUUCCAUAUUAUUUUAUAUAAUUAUGCACACAGUUUUAUUUUUCUUGGUGCAGAUAUUGCUGUGUAGCAUAAUACAGCAUUACUUUUAUUUUCAGAUCGAUUGGCUGAGCCUCAUGGGAGGCAACACACCUGGAGAGUCGGUCAGAAGACUGCUUGGGAAACUCUGGACAAAUGCUCUUUGGGCCCAAUAUAGUCUUAAAGGCCGCAAGGGAAAGAAGAAUUUCCAGGAACUGGAAAUAUAUGCCUGUCGUCGAACACACACCAAGGUGCUGGAAAAAGUAAUUGAGGACUUCAUUUCAGAAACACUGAAGUUUGCACCACACAGAGAUAAGAUGCUACAAUCUCAGGCCGAAGCAGAGACUUAACACUUAAUUAGUUGUUUUACACAGAACGUAUUUUAUGUAAGAUUUGGAAUGUUUCAGUUUGUGGAAUGUUUGAGUAUAUAAAAUGUGGUCACAUACUCACACUAUCACGCACACACAUCCACUCCUCCGCUCAUUAUCACUUUCAGCUGUUUCCCCUUUCGUUCCCUUCUCCUCACCUGUCCCUUCUUUUGCCCUUGAUUGUCUCUGCUUCUUAUUCCCUCUUUCUAGCCCUGUCUUGUUGUCGGAUUAUUCAAUGACCUCUCGUGAGACACGUCUGUUUCCUAGUCCUGUACUGUCUUUUCCGUGGAAUGUAAGGUCAUUGCUUCUACUGUGAGUUAUUUUGUCAUUGGACUGUGUAUUAUCCAGCUGUGCCUGUUUGCUGAGUACCUGUGCAGCGCCUGCCCUUGGCUGUUCACACUGCCAGCUGUCUUCACUGUUUUGGACGGGCUGUAUGCAUCUCGGGGUCCCUGCCUCUGCCCUUGUGGAUUUAUGUUGUUUUUUUCUUAGACCCAGUCGUCUGUAUGUUUCUGUUUUGGCACAGAUAGAAGCCUGUGAUUUUUGUACUAAAUUAUUCAGCGAAGACAUUUGCUUUAUUAAAGACUGUUAACUGCACCCACCCUGGCCUUCCAUCGUUCUUACCACAUAACAAAGUGAAAGUUAAGAUAUCAGUAAUGCCAUUUUUUUUGUUCCAUUUAAAUGUACGUUACAGUAUACUUAAA